GGUCACCAGAAACAUUAACAGAAUCUAACUGCCACAGAUACGACGUCGCACUAGGGCUACAAAGGCUAAUUAGGCAGAGCAAGACCUUGAUAAACAUAUCACACACUCUCAAUUUUAUUCAAGCCCUCAAACGCAUAUAGCUUUUCUCCAAGAACAAGGGAUAACAUCUCUGAUGGCAGGGAGGCACCGCAUUCCGCGUGAACCCAUGAUUGACCGGCGUGGCUACCCUCUUGAAGGACCUUAUGGUAGAGCCCCUCCUGUGCCUCGGCAGCUGCCCCAUCCUGCGUUGUUGGAGGAAGAACUUGAAAUGCAGCAUGCUGAGAUUCGGAGGCUCUUAGCUGAUAACCGGAGGCUGGUGGAGGACCGAAUGGCAUUGCAGCAUGAUCUUGGUGCUGCCAAGGAAGAAAUUCAUCGCAUGAAUAUUGCCUUUUCUGAUAUUCGCGCCGAGGAAGAACUGCAGUCGAGGGAGCUCUUUGAGAAAGCAAGAAAAUUGGAAGCUGAUCUUCGGGGAGCUGAGCCGUUUAAAAAUGAGGCUAAACAACUACGCGGUGAAGUUCAGAAGCUGAAUGGCGUUAGGAAGGAACUUUCCACACAAGUGCAGACUCUCACACAGGACCUUGUAAAGUUGCAAGCUGAUAAUCAACAGAUUCCUUUGCUAAAGUCUGAGAUUGAUGGUCUGCACCAGGAGCUUAUGCAUGCUAGAAGUGCAAUUGAUUAUGAAAAGAAGGCAAAUAUUGAGCUUAUGGAACAGAGACAGGCAAUGGAGAAUAACCUAGUUUCUAUGGCUCGUGAAGUUGAGAAACUUCGUGCAGAACUUGCUAGAGUUGAUGGUAGACCGUGGGGUGCAGGUGGACAAUAUGGGAUGAGUUUCAGCAGCCCAGAUGGAAGCUUUCCUGCUCCGUAUGGAGAUGGAUAUGGGAUGCAUAUGGGUAUGCCUGAUAAAGGACCGAUGUAUGGGCCAGGCCCAACUUUGUGGGGAGGUUCGGAAAAGCUGCGCAUGCCUCGUCGUUGAAAUGCAGAAGAGUUUAUUUGAAUGACACAGUUACAUGUUACUUUUGGUUGCUCGUCGUCUGGAGAUUAUGGCCAAGAAUUUAUAGGUUCAUCUAUGAGUACACUCCUGAUCAGUAGCCCUUUAUUUAUCUUGAUACAUUGUUAGUCAUCAUAAACUGAUGUAUAUAGAUGGAAGGCCUGUUGUGGAAUGAGAAAAUCAAGGAUGUCUUGUGUAAUCUACCGAAAGGAAUACAUGCCUGAUUUGUUAUGCUAUUCCAAACAAGAAAACGUAACUUUUACAAGAAGUUUAUUGAACUUGAUUUGUCUUGGUGAUUGAUAAAAGACGACAUCUUACCCAGUUGUUGGAAGUAGUGAUUGUGGCGGAGUCCAUGAAACAUAUUAAGUCAUUGGACGUGUAAGUAGCUACAUGAAUCGGGACUUCUGGACCUCACUUUUAGCACGCCAAAUGAGCUAGUCAAGGAUCCACCCUGCAGCUUUCCUCUAGCUAGUGUUUGUUGCCAUUUCCUUUGCUUUAGUCGAGCUCCACAUGCAAGGUAAUUGUUACGAUGGCAAGCUUCUUUAGAUGAAAAAGUUUGCAUUCGACUGACUAGAUUCAUUGAUGUAGCCGAAGUACAGGAAUAUUAUCUCUAGUUGUAGGCUGUGAAUAUGGAACGCGCCUUUCUUUAACAUUCACUUGUUAAAUAGGAGAGAUUGCAUCGGUUGUUUAUUUGGUGCAUCUCACAACCAGAGUAAAAUGUUAAAGUUGAAGGGCUUGUAUAGCAUCAGUGAUUGCAUCGGUUGUUUAUUUGGUGCAUCUCACAACCAGAGUAAAAUGUUAAAGUUGAAGGGCUUGUAUAGCAUCAGUGAUUACAAAAGAACUGUUGUCACGGAGGGAUUUAUUGGUGCCACAUUAUUGAGGGAGGACCUUGCUGUUUAAGUCUCGCAUUAGUUUGGAAGUAGUUAGAAGGUAUCCGUGAGUACAUUCAACAGAUCAUAUCUGCAGUCCUGGUUUGCUCUCCUGGUUAGGACCGAAACGGCAUAAAAUGAACUCUUGUCUGGUGGGUUGCCUUCUCAGUCAAGGCCUUGUUGUAGAGCCUGUCUCUCGUGAACAUCAGCCAAAUUGAAAGGUAACAACUUGGCUCAAAUGGAGUUCAUUUCCUGAAGCGUAGACCUUAACACUUUGCUCUUCCAAUUCAACAAGCCAAGCCAUGUACUAGCAAUCUUAUUCAUAAACCGGGACUAAUAACGACCGGUAGACCAAGAUUGACGUAUCACCUCCUCACAAGAAGAGUCUCCUCGAACCUAAAACACUCUCUUUGAACUAGAAAAACCACCAGAGUACAAACUCUAAUCAUAACAGCACAGCUACGUUUGUUAAUUAGAAAAGGUCUGAUCCGAUGCUUGGAAUGUUGUAUCGAGUAGUGUAUGGUUUUUGUACAAUAACUUGAUCAACUUGGUGAUUGAUGAAAGAGGAUUCAUGGAAUUGGUAGUGGAGUCCAGGAAUUAUGGUGUAGAUUACCUGAUAUGUAAAUCAUGACUUCUAGAUCUCACUUCUCACAGGUUAAAUAAUCUAGUACUCAAAGAUGACUCUGCAGUUUGUCACUUCCUCUAGUGACUGUCUAUUCUUUGCUUGAUUCCAGAUGCAUAUGCAAUGUAAAUGUUAGGAUGGUAAAGCCGGCCUGUAUAAAAGAAC